rnacentral:lncRNA from 1 species
GCUGAUGAUACCACCACCAAGAAAUCAUCACCAUUAAUAUUUUGGCUUUUUUGUUUUCAGAUUUUUUCCAUUAUGAAAUUGUUGAUAUUUGAUCCUUUUGACCUAUAAAAAUGUUAAUAUCAUAUAGCUUACUCGAACAUAUCCAAAUAAUGUCAUAUAUAUUAUUUUAUGUACCAAAAAGCAUACUAAACAGAUUGUUUUAUAGCUUACUUUUCUCAUUUUUAACAUUAUAAUUUAAGCAUUUGUUCAUAAUAUUAAAACUUUUUGAAAACAUUAUUAUGAAUGACUAUUUCAAUAUGUGGAUGUACCACAACUUACCUAAUGAUUUACCUACUGGUAAUCAUUGAGUUGGACUGGUUGGACAUGAGUUGUUUCUAAUUUGUCGCUAUUACAAAUAAUGCUCUGAUAAAUAUGUAUAAUUAAUUUGUGUUUCAGAUUAUUUUUAUUUCUAGAAAUGAGAUUCUUGGUUAUAGGCUAAAUAUAUUUUCUUGUUUUUUUUUUUUUUGUUCAUUUGUUUGUUUGAGAUGGAGUCUCUCUGUCACCCAGACUGGAAUGCAGUGGCAUGAUCUUGGUUCACUGAAACCUCUGCCUUUCUGGUUCAAGCAAUUCUCAUGUUUCAGCCUCCCAGGCAACGUGUUGGACCUUCCGGAGCUUCUCAGAAGACAGAGGGUUUUCUUUUGAGGUAAAUUUGAUAGUACAUUUUGAUAGUACAGGAGGCGAUACGGCAUGGUGACAGAAAAGCGCCGGCUUGGUUAGCGGGACCACCUGGCAGGGCUGCAGGCUGUGCCACUUACCAGGCAGGGGACCUUGGGCCAGCUGCUUGGCCUCACUCACCCUGUUUCCUCAGCUGCAAUUGGGAUGAACAGACUGCCUGCUUCGGGGUUGCCUAAAACUCACAUUGCUUAAUGAUGUGAAAUGCUUAGCGCAGUGCCUGGCAUAGAGAGAAUUCUCAUUAGAUGAUACCUCAGCUGGGCUUUAGGAGCUACAGAAGAAGCUGCAUCUCCAUGAGCUCAGCGUGUUUCUAGCUUUCCUUUUUGUUUUCUAUUCAACCUUUCACCCAACUCAGCUUCUCAAUCCCUAAAUGACAAAGGUUUGGGAAGGAAGACUUGGACCGAUGCUUGCAUUUGUUUCUGAGAAUUAAACGUUAUGUUUUCUUCAAUCCAAAUAGGUUUGCUUGUACAGCCUUGUUCAAUGGUUUUUUUUUUUUUUUUCUCCAUGAUAAAUGACUCUCAACUUCUUUUCCCUCAUUUAAUUGCUUAUCUACAUACAAUGCCUGGAAGGAAAUAAAUGUAAUGGCCCGUAGCAGUUGGCCUUCAGAUAUCAAGUUUAAGUCCCUUUAAGCAGAACAGCAAAUUGAGCACAGAAUGAACUGGUUUCAUGGUAGCGUACUGCAAUUAGAUGCAAGAAUAGGGAAAGCAGGGUGCUUCAAUUGGUGACACAAUUAGUAUAGCACUGGGGGACUUCUCUUUCCACUUCUUCAACUCCGCCUGCAUUCCGCUGGCUGAAGAGUUGAUGACAUCCCUGAAAAAUCUUCCCUCUCUUGUUUCUCUGAUGCCACCUCUGUGUUCUCCGCCUCACUGGCCACACUUCCUUUACCUCCCAAACUUUUAACUCUGAGUGUCCCAAACUUGUCUCAUCACCUACCCCUGCUGCCCAGCUCCCCAGCCUGUUCCCCUUCUGACACGGGCACUCUCCUUCUGCUGUCUUGGGAGAGAAACAAUGAAGGCCUAGUUGGCACUUUUAUUUCUAUUCAAGGAACCAGACUGUGAACAAGUUUACCAUUUAGUCCUUUGGACUGUGUCUUGAAUUCAUCCCUCUUCUCCAUUCUCACCAGCACCAUCAUCAUGAUGGCUAAUAUUUCCUGAGCACCUUUCAUCCAGGCAUGAUGCCAGGUGCACCAACUUACUUAAUCCUCAUAGCCACCACCUGAGCAAGCUCCUGUUUUAUAAAUGGACCAGUUCUUGUUGCUAUUGUACAAGUUAUUUUCUUUCUAUAACGUCCUCCUUGUCCUCCUUCCACAUUCUUAAAGAAACUUGCCCUUCCUUUAAAGUACUCAGGGAGCCCUGCAUUGCUUCUUGAAGCCUUCUCCAGCUUCAUCAUCUCACAGUGGUCUCUCUUUUCACUAAAUGUCCAAUAUGCUGCACAUAAGUACCCCAAAGUUAGCACAGAAUUGUUCCAUGGCUGUCAUAUAUGUUAAAAAUCAUUAAAAGUUCAUUUUUUCUCUCA